rnacentral:pre_miRNA from 1 species
AGACUCCAGCUCGCCGGCGUCGGGCGAGCUCGAGCUCGCCGGAUCUGGCGAGCCUUGAGCUCGCCAGCGUCGGCGAGCCGAGUGA